UCUUGGGGUUUGUUAAUUCUUUUUUUUUUUGUGUAGAUCAUUUAAUCAAACAAUAGUAACUACCAUAGAUGCAUGUAUAUGUACAUAAGUAGGACAUUGAUCAUCAAUAUUUUGACCAAUACCAUUGCCUCUAUGGAUCCUCUGAAAUCUGAAUAAGAUUAUAUUGAACUCUCUCCUGGUUUAUUGCCAGAGUCUCAUCCUCAGUUUUAUGAUUUUGGAACUACUGAAGUAUUGAUCAGUUGAACGGAAGAGAGGAGGAGAUGCGAAUGAGGAUCACAUGAUAUGAUUGAUUAUUAUUGUGAAUAAUGCAUGAUUUCACUAAUUUCAGUUUUAAAUUUGAAAAAAUUUCUACCAAAAAUAAUAUAAACAA